UCCUAAACCUGAUAGUAGUGAAAAUACUUUUUGCUUGGCAGCAACCCUGAAUAUGCUGUCAUGCUGAGGCACGAAGCAUCUGCAACCGAUGAAACAGAUGCUUCGUAGCUCAGCAUGACAGAAUUUUAAAAAAAGAUUGAAACGAAUAGCAGGACUGCCA
rnacentral:sRNA from 1 species